UUCAUCCCACAAAGACGCGUUGUUUCUCAAUAUUUUCGGUUUCUCUUUGAGUAAAUUUUCUCUCUUUUAUCUUUCUUAGAGAGAAAUGGAUUCUUCUUUUGAAAUUAACAAUUGUUGCGACAUAAUUUUGCAUGUUCGUCCAGUCAAUAUAGUUCAAAUAACGGCUCAACCAAACCAAAAAAUUGCUAUUAGUAAAUGGUGCUAAUAGCAGUUGUAGUAUCAAGUCAUCCAAUGGAGAAUGAAUCAAGGACAUUGAGUUUGGGAUAACUCCCCAUCAACUCACAGGAGGAAGAGAAGGUUGGUUAAUGCCGAAGUCGUAUACAACGAUUCUGUUAGCUUCGUAAUCAUACACUUACAAGGUGAAGUUAACAUAUACAGGGUAAAAUUAAACAAAAUUAUGACAUUUGGUUUUUAAUAUUUCUAUGUGUAAAUUCAAAUAACUCGAGAUUUUUUCUUGAACAAUAUGAUAAUAAUUACGAGACAAUUAGUUUUGUUAAAUGCUUUCUUAUGGACUCGACUUAUAGAAUGGAGAAGAACCACAUGAUCCACUCAUGCUUAAUUACAAAUACCAUAUUAUGCUGCACAGAUGGCAAACUAAAACGAGAAGUUGUCCUAAUGGACACUGUGACAAGGUAACUAAGAUUAUUGUCUUAUUUAGUGCAUAAAAUUUAAACUCUUUUUUUCAUUUUCUAGCUAGAUAUUGAUCCUAAAAACUAGUGAUAAGGCUUUAUCAAAAUGAUAAAUCAACAAAAUGAGAAAUAAAAAAUAAAGUAAAAAGUUAAUUGUGAUUCUAAUUUAUAAUUAUGAAUGAGCUUAAGUUACACACAUAUUUAGUGUAACAAAUUAUUUACACUAUCUUGCCAUUUAAAGUUAUUUACAGGUAAGUGUCCUUAAAAUAUGAGUUUUAAAAUCUUAAAAAUACGAUAUGUUACCUUUUAUAACAGAUAAAGGUGACCUGAUGGUUUGAUAUUGGUUGCUCCAUGGUUUAAGCUAUGUUUAAGCUUAUGCAAUGUUUCUCUAACCAGUUGCAUUAUUAUUUUCACAUUAUCUAUCAUGAGACAUCUCAUAUAUUAUAAUGAUUGUAUUCCAUUUUUUUGUAUUUGCAUGCUUAACUUUUGUUCGCCUUGUUGGAUAAUGAGUUGUUGGUGCAUGGUAGUGUACAAAACUUAAACACUUUAUCAAUUAUUAUAACCUUAAGAAAAGUCUUGUCGUGUUGCAAUUUUACUACUAUGAGAAAAACCGUGUAAGUGUCUAUCUGUUGCGGAUGUAAGAAGACACAUAUUGUAUUGUUUUCAAGAAACCGGAGGUAGAAGUAUAUCCAGAAAUCAAUUUACUAAAAGAGACUAAGGUAACCCGUUAAUAUAUACUAAAAUAUAAUUUUUUGUUUAUUGCCACACCAUUCUUACAACUGUAUGUUAAAUUAAAUCAGGAUUGGGGCUUCAGAGCAACACUACAAGAAAAGAAAAUAGAAUCUUCAAACUCAGAGCCUGCAGUAAAGAAACAGAAAUGCAGCACUAGUGGACUGCCUUUUGGAGGUGAGGUGAUGUCGAUGAGUGAAAGGCCUCACUGAUGCAUACAACAACCUCAUGAAUUUGGACAAACAACACAAAAACAAGAUUGUUGCAAGAGAGUUUAUGGUAAGUAGUUAGAUUAAUUAAAUAAGUUGUCAAUAAUAUUACUCCAUCUAUCUCAAUUUAUCGAAUGCUUUUAUUCGGAAAAGAAUUAUAUACAUAUUUUUAUAUGUUUAGAAAUAAUCUGAUUAUAAAUUUUAAUUAUAAAUAUUUAAAAUAUAUUUUCUUAAAUUCAUGUCAAGUAAAAAUGCAUCACAUAAAUCGAAAAAAAAAAUUACACAAUUUCUUCUUUUCAACUUUAUUGCUCAUAAACUGUCAAUGGAACUAAAGGUAGGGGGUUUAGAAACACCCUCUAAGAAAAGAAAAACAGAAUUUUCAAGCUCGGAAGAGAGCUAACAACUAAAAAUCAAAAAAGCAAUACGAAACAACCUAUUAUUAGAAGCAAAUUGACACCAACGAGAAGACCUGAGCUUGAAAUUUUCUUGCUGAUGCAUAAAACAAUUUUAUGAAAUUGGGCAAUCACAACAGCCAAAAUGAGGUUAAGCCCAAGUAGGUUUGUUCGAAGGAUAACGAUAAAAGUUCUUUGAACCAUAAGAGAUUUUGAUAAGCGAUCUUCCUCCAAUUUUUGAAAGGAUUAUGUCCUUAUGUCAUCAUUGUUUCAAAAAAAGGAAAAAUUGGAAGCACUACAAAUUUGAAUUUUUCAUGAAGUAGUAGUUAUGUCCCACAAGGAAGUGAACAAGGUAAAAGAGAGUGCGAAUGGAGUGGUUUCACGCUUGGCGAAAUCAAUGAGUUGUACACCAAUUUUUCAUAAAGUGUAGCUAAUAGAUCGUGUCACAAGCUUACUCUUUUUUUUUUUUGGGUAAGAUUUUUAUUUCAAUUUUAUCAUACUAAUAUAUAUUAACAAUGCAUUUGAUGGACCACAAAAUUUUUAUAGUUAACUAUGUGAAAUUUUACUUUGUGCAUAAAAUUGAAAUCCUUUUGGCUAUGAGAAAGUGUUUAAGUUUUUGUCCACUUCCUUGUGGGGAACACCUACUACUUCAUGACAAAUUCAAGUUUUUACUUUUUGAAACAAUGAUGGCAUGAGGAUAGAAUCCUUUAAAAAAUGGGAGGAGAUGGCUUGUCAGAUCUCUUACGGUUUGAAUGAUUUUUACCAUUAUCCUUCGAACGAACCUUCUCAGGUUUAGCCUCAUUUUGGUUGUUGUGAUUGUCCAAUUUCAUAAGAUUGUUGUAUGCAUCAGCGAUAAACUUUUCAAACUCGUAUUUUCUCAUUGGUGUCAAUUUGCUUUUAAUAAUAGGUUGUUUCGUAGUAGUUUUUGACUUUUCCUUGUAAGCUUUCUCUCCGAACUUGAAGAUUCUGCUUUCUUUUCUUGGAAUGUGUUCCUGAACCCCCUGCCUUUAGUUUCAUUAAUAGUGUUAUGAGCAGUAAAGUUAAAAAGAAGAAAUUGUGUAAUAUU